GACGAACCGUGCGAACGUUAUUCGGAAUCACUGGGCUUAAAGCGCGUGUAGGCGGGCCGGCACGUCCGGUGCUGAAAGCCCCCGGCUCAACUGGGGAGGGUCACUCGAUACUGAUCGACUUGAAGGCAGGAGAGGGAAGCGGAAUUCCCGGUGUAGUGGUGAAAUGCGUAGAUAUCGGGAGGAACACCAGUGGCGAAGGCGGCUUCCUGGCCUGUUCUUGACGCUGAGGCGCGAAAGCUAGGGGAGCAAACGGG
rnacentral:rRNA from 1 species